rnacentral:rRNA from 1 species
GACGAACGCUGGCGGCGUGCUUAACACAUGCAAGUCGAACGGUGAAGCGCCUUCCUUUUUGGUGGGUGUGGAUGAGUGGCGAACGGGUGAGUAAGACGAGAGUAAACUGCCCCCUCCUUCUGGAUAACCGCAAAAAGGUGUGGCUAAUACGGGAUAUUCUGGAUCUCUUGCAUGAUGGGUCUGGGACGGAUAUUGUGUCGGUGGGGGAUGGGCUCGCGGCCUAUCAGCUUGUUGGUAGGGUGAUGGCCUACCAAGGCGGUGACGGGUAGCCGGCCUGAGAGGGUCGGCCGCCAUAGUGGGGCUACGCGACCGAGACGACUCCGACAGGAAGCAGCAGUGGGUAUUAUUGCACAAUGGGCAGCAGGCUGAUGCAGCGACGCGGGGGGAGUGAUGGUGGCCUUCGCGUUGUGAACCUCUAUCGGGAGUGAAGCAGUGUUGCAUCGUUUGUGGGUGGGUUGACGGUAGCUGGACAAGAAGCGCCGGCUAACUACGUG